rnacentral:rRNA from 1 species
GAUGAACGCUAGCGACAGGCUUAACACAUGCAAGUCGAGGGGCAUCAUGAGGUAGCAAUACCUUGAUGGCGACCGGCGCACGGGUGAGUAACGCGUAUGCAACCUGCCCGAUACCGGGGUAUAGCCCAUGGAAACGUGGAUUAACACCCCAUAGUACUUUUAUCCUGCCUGGGAUGGGAGUUAAAUGUUCAAGGUAUCGGAUGGGCAUGCGUCCUAUUAGUUAGUUGGCGGGGUAACAGCCCACCAAGACGAUGAUAGGUAGGGGUUCUGAGAGGAAGGUCCCCCACAGUGGGACGGAGACACGGUCCAAACUCCUACGGGAGGCAGCAGUGAGGAAUAUUGGUAACUGGACGUAAGUCUUAACCAGCCAAGUCGCGUGAGGGAAGACUGCCCUAUGGGUUGUAAACCUCUUUUAUAAGGGAAGAAUAAGUUCUACGUGUAGAAUGAUGCCUGUACCUUAUGAAUAAGCAUCGGCUAACUCCGUGCCAGCCGCCGCCGUAA